CACAAUCAGCUCAGACAAUAUUCUGCAAAGCCAUAAUAUUCUGCCAAAAAAAAAAUUUCAAUAAAGGAUAAAUGUUUGUAAAACCAAGAAAGAGUUACUUUUAAAAAGUGUUUGCAUAUUUGAACAAUUACAGGCAUAACUUAUUUUAUUUCAUCUCAAAGAUACUGUUUUUUACAAACUGAAGGUUUGCAACAACCCUUCAUUGGGCAAGUCUAUUGCAACAUUUUCUGAACAGCAUUUGUUCACCUUCUAUCUCUGUGCCACAUUUUGGCAAUUCUUAUAAUAGCUCAAACUUCCUUAUUAUCGUUAUGUUAUGCUCAGUGAUCUUUGCUAACUCUUGAGAUAUUAUGACUUGCUCAAAGCUGGCAGUUUUUAGUAACAAAGUUUUCUUUUAGCAAUAAAGUAUUUUUGUGUGGGUGUCUUUUUAAGGCAUACAUUUCCCAUUUAGAGUUUUGAACAUGAUUGUUUUCCAAAAUAUUUUUUAUGUCAGUUACAGAACUUCUCCACUUGAAACCCCAGUUCCUGACCCAGAAAUGCUACUCUUUUCUGUGAGAAUGAAUGUGACCCACAGGGACCUGGCGCAUCAUGCACUUUUCACAAGGCUGGGCAAGAAAGGAGAAAACCUAUACAUGAGCACUAAAAAAUCUGAUCUUCUCCAGAAAUCAAAACAAGUAAGUUAUCCUUCAGAACCAAAUAUGUAACUGUUAGCUGGUGAUACUUUUUUUUUUUUGUUUCUCAUUCUUUCUUUUGAAAGUUAGUCACUCAGUGCAGUCUGACUCUUGCAAUCAAAUGGACUGUAGCCCAACAGACUAUCUGUCCAUGGAAUUUUCCUGGCAAAAAUAUUGGAGUGGCUUGCCAUUUCCUACUCCAAGCAAUAAAUUAUUUUUAAUUAAGGUAUAUACACUGUAUUUUUAGACACAUGCUUUUGCACACUUAAUAAACUAAAGUGUAAAUAAAACUUUUUAUGUACUGGGAAACUAUAAAAGUUUGUGUGAUUUAUUUGCUUUAUUGCAGUGGUCUGGUACCAAAUAGGAAAAGGAGUACGUCAAGGCUGUAUAUUGUCACCCU
rnacentral:lncRNA from 1 species